rfam:Corynebacterium epidermidicanis strain DSM 45586, complete genome.
GUCGGUGGCAACAGCGGUGGGGUAACGCCCGGUCCCAUUCCGAACCCGGAAGCUAAGCCCACCAGCGCCGAUGGUACUGCACCCGGGAGGGUGUGGGAGAGUAGGUCACCGCCGACC